AUACGAAGGGUGCAAGCGUUGUUCGGAUUUAUUGGGCGUAAAGCGCGCGCAGGCGGAUUAACAAGUCAGAUGUGAAAUCUCGGGGCUCAACCCCGAAACUGCGUCUGAAACUGUUAAUCUAGAAUCUUGGAGAGGGAAGGGGAAUUUCUCAUGUAGGGGUAAAAUCCGUAGAGAUGAGAAGGAACACCAGAGGCGAAGGCGCCUUCCUGGACAAGUAUUGACGCUGAGGCGCGAAAGCGUGGGGAGCAAACAGGAUUAGAUACCCUGGUAGUCCACGCCGUAAACGAUGUGCACUAGAUAUGGGGGGAUUGACCCCUUCCGUGUCGCAGCUAACGCAUUAAGUGCACCGCCUGGGGAGUACGGUCGCAAGACUAAA
rnacentral:rRNA from 1 species